rnacentral:rRNA from 1 species
CAGUCGCCGCGGUAAUACGGAGGGGGCUAGCGUUGUUCGGAAUUACUGGGCGCAAAGCGCACGUAGGCGGCUUGGUAAGUUAGAGGUGAAAGCCUGGAGCUCAACUCCAGAAUUGCCUUUAAGACUGCCGAGCUAGCAGGUGAGAGAGGUAAGUGGAAUUCCGAGUGUAGAGGUGAAAUUCGUAGAUAUUCGGAAGAACACCAGUGGCGAAGGCGGCUUACUGGCUCAUACUGGACGCUGAGGUGCGAAAGCGUGGGGAGCAAACAGGAUUAGAUACCCGCGUAGUCCCUGUCUCUUAUAA